UUUGUAAUGUAUACCAAAUUUUGAAAGUACAUUUCAAAUGUGACACCAGGAUCCACACAAACUACACAAUCCAUAUACAUGUAAAAAUAGUAAAUAUUUAAAUUGAUUUCGUUUAUUUAAGAGGUACAGAACCUGGUUGUGAGAAAUAUCGCUUGAAAUCUGUUGAAGUGAAACUUCUCUAUUGUCUCUUCUUUCUUUAAUCAUUUGCAGUACAAGAGCAGAUACUAGUCAAAGCAAACCAUUCUCUCAUUGAAGAGGUAUCAACUAGUCAAUACACCACUGGAUACGCUGUGUUCGGUACCUUUCUCUUUAUCUCCAUCCUCUUUAAUGUCGGAUUCAUCAUACACUGUUUAAGAAUGCGUUUCAGAGACUCCAGGAAUCCAAAAACUUCCCAGGAGCUGCAAACCUACCAUAUACCUGACUUUGGGGACAACUAUGAAGGCUUAGAUUCAUCACAAAUUGACUCUACACGUAAUGUUUAUGAUACCAUUGCCAAGUAGCGGGAAGGACGGGAGAGUGUUCAGUGUAAUAAUUCGAUUUGUAUUGUAAAGGUGAAGCCCGUGAAGCUUUCUUAUAGGAGUGAUAUCAGACUUUAAUCACAUUGAUCACCUCAAAUACAAUAAGUAUCAAAAAUAAAUAAUUCAGUCGCACUUCCUUCUUAUCACAAGUUUAUUUACAAGUAAUGUAAAUAUAAUAUAAUAAUAUGACAUGUUAUGUUGUCAUGAUAUCCCCAACAUUAUCAUGUUGAAUGUAAGAUCGGAUUAAGCGAAAAGAAGUUAAUUUUGUAAUCAUUAUCCACAGCCUUGGUCAAACAGUAUCAUAUGUUGCGAAAGAAUUUUGAGUAAGUAAGAUUGUAUAUAUAUCUAUAGUGUUAGGGCCUGUAGUACAUAACAAUAUGGUUUUGUUUGAUUGCCCAUUUUGCAUGUGUUUAUUAUCUACAUAAUGUAAUCCAUGUUUUAUUUGUGAUUUCUGUAUCUCAUCCAAUUUGUGGCGAAGACACCAUUAAUUGUUCGUUGCUUUUGCACAACAUACUCAUGCAUGUAUAUGCAUAUAUACGUACAAGUAAAAUAUAGGAUUAUAUAGGUGGUAAUAUCUUUUAAAACACAACCGAAUAAAGAACUCACAAAUCAAUAAAAAUAACCAUAACAUCACAUGUCAUGGUGAGAAUGGGUCUAAGCUUGCUAUACAAAAUGAAGAUCGUUAUGCAUGUGCUAAUAUAACUAGUAUAUGUUAUAUCUUAUAAGGGAACAACCAACCAAUUGAAAUAAUAGACUUUGGAAACACCCCAUGUGUAUAGAAAGUUGAACCAGGAAUAAAAUGUCUGGCAGCCACUGAUUGGUCAGUAUGUUAUGAAGUAACAAAAUAGAUAUGAUAGGUAACUGUCCAUAAGAAAUGUUCAUACAAAUUUUGUAAGUUCGAUUGAAGUUCGAUUGAAUUGGUUUUCCAUAAGUUUUGGCCAUAAUAAUAAACACGUAAUUAUUUUCAAAAUAGCUACCAUGGAAAAAAUUGAGCUGAAUGACCAAACUCUUUUUUGAAAACGUGUUAUAUUAGACACUGAACUUUUAUUAUAAACCAUUAUUGCCUUAUUGAAUUCAAAAAUUUUAAUGAUAUACUCCAAAACGUUAACACUAAAGUCUAUGGAAAAACAAUUGGUUAGUUGGUCCCUAUAAAGAAGACCAUCUUAAUGCUCGGCAGUUGAUUUUCGUUAAUUUGUUCUGAUCGUAAGAUUUGUAAGGGUACAUUUUGUAAAGCGCACGCGAACGUUGGUUUACAGUAUCGUAACACUAAUCAACCUAUCUUCUACAUGUACAUGUAGGCUCUUUGUUAUUGGCUUCCUAGUACAAAGGGUUGCAUGGAUGCUCAUGUUUUGUACAUAACAAAACUUAUUUUGAUACAUUGUUAUGGGUUGAUAUGAAAGAAAGCAGAUAUAACUCUACGAUGAUCAACUCAGAAAACAACAACAACUAUAGAAAUAUAUAAAAUGUAGGAUUCAGUGAAAAUUCGUGUCGACAUACACUUGUCGAAAUUCUCAUGCAUACGAAGCCAUCAUAAAUAUAGAAUAAUUUGCAAGCCACACGCUUAGGAUACAUUAUAACAUGAUGUCUUACCGAAUCGUCUGGCCGAUAUCGAGUGAUGCAUUAUUUGAAAUCAAUCGAAACGGAAUUCUUUAGGGUUUCUCCCAUACAUACAUGAUACAUUUAUAUUUGAUUGUGUUUGUUAUAGACUGCGCAUUACUUAAGCAUCAUGUCAGCUAUAGACCGGCAUGACUGGUGUAGACGUUAGUAUCAGGAGGAAGUAAUAAUUGGAAGCAUAAUACAUAAUACUUGAUAGUAUCCAUUAUAUUCAAUGCUAGGCGUAAUACAAAUAAUAUGAUGUAAUAUGAUAAAAAAAAUUUCCUUUAAGGAUUUAAAUUUGUGAAAUUAGUUAUCCGCUGAAUAAAUUAGUCAUACCUAUUGUAUAUGAAUGAGAGAGUAACAGACAUGUAUUUUGUUCAAAAAGAGAAAGAAGAACUUUGAAAAUCAGUCACUAUUAAAAUUGA